rnacentral:lncRNA from 1 species
GUUGUUUCCUGGCAUUAAAAUCUAAGUCCAUUUAUAAGUAAAAUAGGGAAAAAAUGGUAUUUUGUUUUUAUAAAAUUUACAUCUGGAUACUAUCUUAUGAUCAUAAACAAGCUUCUGUCCAAGUUUGGUUGAAAUCCAGUAUAGUUUAUAAAAACUAUUAAAGUUUUAAAAACUUUAAAACACAGAAAUUAAACUGAGAAUGACCAUGGGUGCAAAAAACCAAUAUAAGUUUUGUGUUUCUGUAGGGAGUUUAUUUUUCACCCUUUAACUAUGUAUCAAGAGACCGUAUGGGCUUUGCUCAUUGUUGAAGGCCGUACGGUUACCUAUAUAGUUGUUAAUGUGUGUGUCAUUUUGGUCUUUUGUGGAUAGUUGUCUCAUUGGCAAUCAUACCACAUCUUCUUUUUUAUAUAUUACAUACGAUGUAGCACCAUUUCAUCUUUUUCACAAAAAUGUGCAAUAAUCUACUGGUCAGUACCACUUUUUGCUUGUUUACUAAUUCAUUGAGGUUACAUUUUUCUAUGAAAAGAGAUUGUAAAAUAAUA